rnacentral:rRNA from 1 species
UACGGGGGGGGGCAAGCGUUGUUCGGAAUUACUGGGCGUAAAGCGCGCGUAGGCGGCUCUUCAAGUCGAGUGUGAAAGCUCCAGGCUUAACCUGGGAAUUGCGCUCGAUACUGUUGAGCUAGAGUGUGGAAGGGGCUACUGGAAUUCCGUGUGUAGCGGUGAAAUGCGUAGAUAUACGGAGGAACACCAGCGGCGAAGGCGGGUAGCUGGGCCAACACUGACGCCGAUGUGCGAAAAGCUAGGGGAGCAAACGGG